rnacentral:rRNA from 1 species
AUUUCCUGUACUAUGAUAUGACAGAACUGUGGGGACACGUGCAGAGAGCGGAAGCCGGGAAUGGGAUCCCGGUGCAAGCGAGGUACCAGCCGCAUUGGAAAAACCGUGCGGCAAUGGGAAGACGUGAUGCGGAGUGAAGUUUAGUAAUGAAGUCCGUGAGCUGUGCGUCAAGAAAAGCCGCUAUUGUUCAUACCAUACCCGUACCGUAAACCGACACAGGUGGAUGAGGAGAGAAUCCUAAGGCCGGCGGAAGAAGCAUUGUCAAGGAACUCGGCAAAAUGACCCCGUAACUUCGGGAGAAGGGGUGCCUGCGAGAGCAGGCCGCAGAGAAUAGGCUCAAGCAACUGUUUAGCAAAAACACAGGUCUAUGCGAAACCGAAAGGUGAGGUAUAUGGGCUGACGCCUGCCCGGUGCUGGAAGGUUAAGAGGAGAGGUUAGCGCAAGCGAAGCUUUGAAUUUAAGCCCCAGUAAACGGCGGCCGUAACGAUAACGGUCCUAAGGUAGCGAAAUUCCUUGUCGGGUAAGUUCCGACCCGCACGAAAGGCGUAAUGAUUUGAGCGCUGUCUCGACAAUGCAUCCGGUGAAAUUGAAGUACCAGUGAAGAUGCUGGUUACCUGCGCCAGGACGGAAAGACCCCAUGGAGCUUUACUCCAGUUUGGUACUGGGAUCCGGUACUGCAUGUACAGGAUAGGUGGGAGGCUAUGAAUCGGUAACGCCAGUUGCCGAGGAGCCGCUGUUGGGAUACCACCCUUGCAGUAUUGGGUUUCUAACCAGCCGCCGUGACCCGGCGGUGGGACAAUGCCAGACGGGGAGUUUGACUGGGGCGGUCGCCUCCGAAAGGGUAUCGGAGGCGCCCAAAGGUUCCCUCAGGAUGGACGGAAACCAUCCAAAGAGUGCAAAGGCAGAAGGGAGCUUGACUGCGACACCGACGGGUGGAGCAGGUACGAAAGUAGGGCUUAGUGAUCCGGUGGUAUUAAGUGGGAAUGCCAUCGCUCAACGGAUAAAAGCUACCAUGGGAUAACAGGCUUAUCACUCCCAAGAGUUCACAUCGACGGAGUGGUUUGGCACCUCGAUGUCGGCUCAUCGCAUCCUGGGGCUGUAGUAGGUCCCAAGGGUUGGGCUGUUCGCCCAUUAAAGCGGUACGCGAGCUGGGUUCAGAACGUCGUGAGACAGUUCGGUCCCUAUCCGGCGUGGGCGUAGGAUAUCUGAGAGGAGCUGUCCUUAGUACGAGAGGACCGGGAUGGACGGGCCGCUGGUGCACCGGUUAGACUGCCAAGUCUAUAGCCGGGUAGCCAAGCCCGGAAGGGAUAAACGCUGAAGGCAUCUAAGCGUGAAGCCCCCCUCAAGAUGAGAUAUCCCAUCCGAAAGGAGUAAACCCCCUUGAAGACGACGAGGUCGAUAGGGCAGAGGUGGAAGUGUGGUAACACAUGGAGCUGACUGCUACUAAUAGGGUGAGGGCUUGACC